rnacentral:rRNA from 1 species
CCUACGGGAGGCAGCAGUGAGGAAUAUUGGUCAAUGGACGCGACUCUGAACCAGCCAAGUAGCGUGAAGGAUGACGGCCCUAUGGGUUGUAAACUUCUUUUAUAAGGGAAUAAAGUGAUGCACGUGUGGCUUAUUGUAUGUACCUUAUGAAUAAGGAUCGGCUAACUCCGUGCCAGCAGCCGCGGUAAUACGGAGGGUCCGAGCGUUAUCCGGAUUUAUUGGGUUUAAAGGGAGCGUAGGUGGGUUGUUAAGUCAGUUGUGAAAGGUUGCGGCUCAACCGUAAAAUUGCAGUUGAAACUGGCAGUCUUGAGUACAGUAGAGGUAGGCGGAAUUCGUGGUGUAGCGGUGAAAUGCUUAGAUAUCACGAAGAACUCCGAUUGCGAAGGCAGCUUACUGGACUGCUACUGACAUUGAUGCUCGAAAGUGUGGGUAUCAAACAGGAUUAGAUACCCGAGUAGUC